UGUUUCUUACUUACAACAAAGUUGCUGUCAGAUCUGCAAUACAGUAAAGAAUGUUGGGUUUUGCAUAUUAUGAAUGGACCAUGGAUUGAGGAGCCUGCCAAAGUGGCACGACAGCGAAUGUUGGAGAACAGCUAGCUAUUUGAAUUGCAAGAGCGGUUUAAUUCUGAAGGGCUCAAGUUGAGGAUUGCAGUUCUACAGUAGUCCAAAUGAUGUGGUCUUCUCUAGACAACAGAAGUUGAAGCUCAUGUUAAUAUGAUGCCCAACCAUGGGCAGCUUCAUGCUUCAUCAUUAAUCUAAGGUGUUGAUAUUAGAUCUUGAAACAAAUAGAACAAUGAUGGGAAACUGGACAGACUUCAUUUGUGCCUUGAUUGGUAAUAUUAGGUUUAGAAACUAUUAGUAUGACCAGUUUUUAGUACCAAGCACAUUGGUUUUAUGCUUUUGACUAUGUAUUUUCUGAGUAAUUUGCCUACCGUGGAAACAGUCCAAUGUCUAGUUUAUUAAUCGUUGAAUUUGCUUCUAA